CAAGAGAUAAUUUAAUUAAAAUGUUAACAUUGGAAGUUAAUAAUUAAGUUGUGAACUUAUCUUUUGA
rnacentral:tRNA from 1 species